UACGUAGGGGGCAAGCGUUGUCCGGAAUCAUUGGGCGUAAAGAGCGUGUAGGCGGCUUGGUAAGUCCGCUGUGAAAGUCCAAGGCUCAACCCUGGAAUGCCGGUGGAAACUGUCAAGCUUGAGUCCGGAAGAGGCGAGUGGAAUUCCUGGUGUAGCGGUGAAAUGCGCAGAUAUCAGGAGGAACACCAAUGGCGAAGGCAGCUCGCUGGGACGGUACUGACGCUGAGACGCGAAAGCGUGGGGAGCAAACAGG
rnacentral:rRNA from 1 species